AUAACUAUUUCUGCUCAAUGUAUGAACAGGUUGUAUUGUCAUAAAUGCAUGUUGAACUGAAAGUGUAGGCAAUUUUCUAUCUCAAUAUAUGAUGUACUGCCAUGUUGCAUCGAUGUGGCUCUACAUCUGCGGAAAAAAAUCUCAUUUUUUGAGAUCAAAUCUGAAAUCAAUGAUUGUUAGGUAAUGUUACUUACUCUUUCUUUAUUUUCUGGAUAAACAACUUAAAUCUUAUUAUAAUGUAAUAACUUCACUAGAGUUUUUUUUUGGUUAUCAAAACACUUCACUAGAGUUUUUGCUUUUAAAAGACAUGUGGUAGUGUCUGCUUAUAUUUGGUAAUUCACUAGAUUUUCCAUUUGUGCAUUUUUCUGACAUUUGCAAAUUGAUUUGAUCUUCUCUUUUUGCAGAUUUUACUUGAAUCAUUGUUGGCAUAAGAAUGAGUUAGAUUUUGCUCUCCGAACUCUGGAUAAUAUAGGUUGUAAUAGGCAACUCAGUUGCAAUUCUCUUUCUACUUCUUUUCACGUAAAGAAAUUCGAUGUUUCAUUCAAUUAUGUACAAGCACAAGAUUUUUUUUCCUAAUGCUAACUUUAUGUUUAGUUUGCUUAUACUAUUGUAUUGUUGCAAUGACAAAAGGAAAUCGAAACCAUGCAUGUUGGGCCCG
rnacentral:lncRNA from 1 species